rnacentral:rRNA from 1 species
UGGGGAAUAUUGCACAAUGGGCGCAAGCCUGAUGCAGCGGCGCCGCGUGGGGGAUGACGGCCUUCGGGUUGUAAACUCCUUUCGCCAGGGACGAAGCGUUUUGUGACGGUACCUGGAGAAGAAGCGCCGGCUAACUACGUGCCAGCAGCCGCGGUAAUACGUAGGAUGCAAGCGUUGUCCGGAAUUACUGGGCGUAAAGAGCUCGUAGAUGGUUUGUCACGUCGUCUGUGAAAUUCCACAGCUUAACUGUGGGCGUGCAGGCGAUACGGGCUGACUUGAGUACUGUAGGGGUAACUGGAAUUCCUGGUGUAGCGGUGAAAUGCGCAGAUAUCAGGAGGAACGCCGAUGGCGAAGGCAGGUUACUGGGCAGUUACUGACGCUGAGGAGCGAAAGCAUGGGUAGCAAACAGGAUUAGAUACCCUGGUAGUCCAUGCCGUAAACGGUGGGCGCUAGGUGUAGGGGCCUUUUGGGGUUUCUGUGCCGUAGCUAACGCAUUAAGCGCCCCGCCCGGGGAGUACGGCCGCAAGGCUA